UUUAGCCAUAAAGCGAAAGCCGGCGUCUACCGCAGAAUUAUUGGACUGUCCGUUACUUCCGGCCUUAAAUCCGCCGUCGCCUCUCGCAUCUCGCCGGCGACUCCUUCCCCGAUCAUUCUCAGCCAUUGAUUUCACUUUCCUCUGAAAAUGACGACAAAACCGCCCCACUCAAUCAUCUCCAUCUCUUCGUCCUCUUUAUAAUCACUCCCAAUUUCCCACACGUUCUUCCUCUUUCCUUACACAUCCAUCCAUCCAUCCAUCCAUCUCACCCUCGCACUUUCCGCGAUUCUUCCAACUCCCCAAAUUACAAUUGAUGGCAAUGGCGACGCUUCCAUUUUUCGCCCCUUCCCCCUCCCCCUCUUUCUCAUUCAAUAGUCUAGCUUUUCAGAUGCGUAUGGGCUCUCGUUUUCGUCUUUCGAGUUUUAGAUCUGCCUUUCUUUUUCCGUUCGUUGUUGAUUUGGAUCUUUCAUUAUUAUUAUUAUUAUUAUUAUUUUAAUCUGUUCGUUGUUUCUUGAUUGAAUGGGAGGUGGAGUCAGUGGAAGCAGCGGUUCAUCGACCUCUUCUUGGGAUUUGUAAUGAAUCGAACGCAAAAACACGAACCGGUCGAUAAACCUCUGCAUCCAGCGCUCUCUCUCGCUCUCUGUCAUUUUUCCCUCCUUUUGUUUGGAGAAAAAUUUAGGACAACCGGGAAAGUAAAACCUCUUUUGCUUCGUUUCUUUGACCAUCUGGGACCCCUUUCUGUUUCUGUCUGCAUCUUGAUAAUUAGUCAAGGGGGCAAGGGCUCAACACUUUUUUCUUCUCAUUCUGCUUUUGCUGCUUCUUGUUGGAAGAUGAGGAUUUUCCUUUGAGAGAAAAUUGAAGGAGAAAUUAUAUUGCAGUCUAAUUUUGAUUCGAAGUAUUGUUGUUCAUACUCCCUGCAGAUAGGCUGUGGACAAGCAAAAUGGAUUGUUAGCAAGUUAUGGUUUAAUUUGGCUUGUUUGGAUUGGUUGCAGCUCUAUAUGGAUUGAUUGGAAUGCUAUAUUCAAAUUAACUGGAUGAUAUAACCUGUUUCUUUUGUGCUUGUUUAUGUUUCUAGAGAGUAACUAUAAUUCUUCCAGUAGAUUAAUUAAGUAAUCUAUCUUGAACAACAUAUGAUAUCUCUUGGCACUUAACCUGACACUCAGUUUUUGUUUCCUAUCCAGAUCUUUUGUCAUUUCUUCAGCUGUUUACCAAAUUUUCCUGCUUGUUUUUCAAUUCAAACAUGCUCUAAAAUCCAACCCAAAUCCGUUUUACUGACUUGUAUGUUCUUAGAUAGGAUAGAACCUUUCUUAGUUAGCUCUUUGGAUAUAUUUGUAAGCAAAUCAGAGAACAGGAAAUGGUGUCAUGGUGUUUAUGCUUAUGUCUUGCUGUGUAGGCUCUAAUCGUGUCUUUUCCUGUCCAUUUGAUCUCUACGUGACACGAUGAAAGAAGAAUCCCUGACAUGGUUCAAAUAUCAUAUACCUAAGCAUAAAAGGACUUGAUGGAAAAAUCCCAUGAUUGGUUCAUUAUUUGGUUUCUUGUAUGUUUCCACUGGUUAUGGAUUUGGAAAUUAGCCUCCAAGCUUCCUAUGAACUGCAAUUCUGGGUUUUUGAUGCCUUGUGUGAAGAAACUUUCCUUUUCAGUAUAGAGAAAAUUUUCCACUAAUGAAAUAUUGAGAAUUGGGAUAGCAAAAAACCAGAGCGGUCAAUUCUUAAGCUUUUAUGGUGGCAUUUGAAAAGGGGGUGUCUUUUUCUUCAUAGAUGAUGGUAGUUCUUUUCAUGGCUUCAUUUCAGUUUAGGGGAAAGUGGGCAACUUUAAUGAAAGAUGCUGAUGGAUGACAUGCUAUUCAGCCUUCAUUAUUGUGUUGGAAGUAACAGUUUGUGAAGUGCCAAUUUGCCCAGGCCAGGGGAGGGAGGGGUGGAUUAUUGUCCAGCUUUGACAUCAACACAUAUGCCAGUUCUCAAUAGAUCUGUCCGAACAAACCAAGAUAGUCGAUGUGUCCCAAGGCAUGGGAGGACAUCACGAUACAUGGAUUGUGUUCUUGGAAACCAAGAUGACAGUGAGAUGCGAUGUUGUGUUGCACACAUUGAACAUGCAUGCACAAAUGUUGUAUAUGGCUGACAAGCUGUGUUCGGUUAGUAAAGAAAGUCUGGUGGCAAAAAAUGGAUAGGGGCUUGAGUUCUCCUUAAGAUUGG